CGGGGUGUAGCUCAGUUGGCUAGAGUACAUGAUUCGGGUUCAUGAGGUCGUGGGUUCGAGUCCCACCACCCCGACCA
rnacentral:tRNA from 1 species